rnacentral:rRNA from 1 species
GACGAACGCUGGCGGCGUGCUUAACACAUGCAAGUCGAACGGUGACGAGGAGCUUGCUCCUCUGAUCAGUGGCGAACGGGUGAGUAACACGUGAGCAACCUGCCCCAGACUCUGGGAUAACAGUUGGAAACAGCUGCUAAUACCGGAUACGAGACGGAGAGGCACCUCUACCGUCUGGAAAGUUUUUCGGUCUGGGAUGGACUCGCGGCCUAUCAGCUAGUUGGUGAGGUAAUGGCUCACCAAGGCGACGACGGGUAGCCGGCCUGAGAGGGCGACCGGCCACACUGGGACUGAGACACGGCCCAGACUCCUACGGGAGGCAGCAGUGGGGAAUAUUGCACAAUGGGCGAAAGCCUGAUGCAGCGACGCCGCGUGAGGGAUGACGGCCUCGGUUGUAACGUACUUCUACGCAGGAGAAGACGAAGUAGACGGUACCGUCGCAGAAGAAGACGACCGGACCGUAACUAACGUCGCCACGCAGCCGCGGUAACGUAGU